UACGAAGGGGGCGAGCGUUGUUCGGAAUUACUGGGCGUAAAGCGUGCGCAGGCGGUUUGUUAAGUCCGCUGUGAAAUCCCCGGGCUCAACCUGGGAAUGGCGGUGGAAACUGGCGAGCUAGAGUGUGGUCAGAGGGGGGUGGAAUUCCACGUGUAAGCAGUGAAAUGCGUAGAGAUGUGGAGGAACACCAAUGGCGAAGGCAGCCCCCUGGGAUAACACUGACGCUCAGGCACGAAAGCGUGGGGAGCAAACAGG
rnacentral:rRNA from 1 species